UGCAAUAUCAGCCUUGUCACAAUGGUGUAGUAUUUCUGAACUAACUUUGUUUUGCUGAACUAUACAAUCAAGGAGAAAAGGUACAAAAAAGAUUAAAAGGUGGCAGCAAAAAUCUUAGUGUUAAUAUGAGCAGUAUAGUACAGUACAGAACAAUAUGUCCAGCUGCCAUAUAAACAAAUCUAUUAAUUGUUGCUGGGGGCAGGUUUGAAGGAGAAUGUAAUGUUGAGAAUAGGAAUCAGUCAUUUGAGUUGUCAUAGGGAGUCAUUUGAGAGGUAACAGAUUAGGAAGUGAGAAGGGGUGUAGACAGAUGAGAGCAGUGGGGGUGGUAUUGUACAGAAUUUCAGAGAUGAAGAAUUGAACAUAAUGUAGAAGUAUAGUGAAAACUAUGCAGAGGCAUAUAACGUCAGAACAGCUAGAGAGGUAGCUAACUGUUUGGUUAUGCUGGACCAGGUGAAUGUAAGAGACAGGAAUGCAUGAGGUAGGUAGUUGCAAUGAGAAAUGACCAGGUUUUUACUUCUAGGGAAUGGAGAGGAAACAGUUGACUUUAGAGAUGGGAGGUGAUGAAGCGACUGGCUUGUGAGAGAGCCUGAUUAUGAAGGGAGCAGAGGCAGAGGGGAGAUCUUUGGUCUGUCUGAUCAUACUCUGUGCCAUAACCAAAUCAAGAUUGACACAGGUCAAAGUUCAAGGAAUCAAGAUACUAUAUCCAGACCCAGUGAAAAGCACCCCCAUCACACUGG